ACCUGGGGAAACAGAGGGCCAGCUGUACCUACAGCAAAGCGGAUACAGCAACACAAACCUCUACCCCUAAGAAGGAAGGUGUCACUUGAUCACUGAGAUGCUAUGUGUUCCUUGAGAUUGGUUUGUAGCCUCAGGCCACAGGGCAAUAGGAUGAGAGGAACCUGGAGGUUUAUUAGAGACAGGAGCAUAGGGGACCACAGUGACCAUUGUGAAUAUUAACUGCAGCACGGCUUUCAGGGAGGAAAUGGAUGUCCUCCUGCCCACAUUCAGAGAGCAGCAUUGCCUUAGGAGCUUACUAACUCCUGCCAAUGCCAGCCAAAUGUCUGGUAGCACUGUUGCCGCUGGAGAGGGACUCAGUAAACACUCUCCUUUUCUGAGUAAUUUUAUGACAAAGACAAACAAUAGGUCAGAUAGAAACCAAGAUGCCAGCUGUUAGAAGCUUGGGUGUGCAGUGAAAAUGGGCAUCUUUACUUAUACAAAAUACUUGGACUGAGACUGACCCACCUGGCCUUGGGCAGUGCUGCACUUCUGCAGGCUGCUGUCUGUGGGGCCUGCCCUGGAAAACUUCUAGCACGGAGGAGCACGUUCACCCUGCAGAUGGCUGGCUCCCAAGAGGAAGAGGAUGAUAAGAAGAUGCUGAAGUGUGAGUGUCCAGUUCCUCUCCCAGAUUCAUCAAAUCAGAAAGAACGUCGGUCCUGGCAGUCUUUCAGCCACAAAGCUUUGAGAAAUGGGGCUAAAUAUUAAUAAUAACUGCUUGGAUUAUAAUGAGGAAUCAAUCAAAACACAUACUGUUGAUGAAGAUGCCUUGAACACCGUGGAUGCUGUAGAAUAAGGGAUUAUGACUACAGCAAUUCUUGGCUCCCUUCUCUGUUUGUUUAAGGGUUACACAGGCUUUGUUUAAUAUCUCCGUGUCUCAGUCCUUUCGGUUGAAGCACAAGGCAUGCUUCAGCCACCUGAGAUUAACUGCUAAACCCUGCAGCAAGCCAGCAUCUCCUCCCUGCUGCCUCUCAUCCGUCAGGAUCUGCUCUGGAAAUGGGCCAGUGGUGACGUGUGGGAAUGCAGCCCUUUGUGUUUGUUUUUGGUGUUGGAUUUGGUGGCCUUGGUCACGGAUUGGCUUCCUUCUUUGAAACUGAACAUCUUCCAUGCCUUUGUGAUUGAGUGACAAAAGUUCAACCUGCACAUGCCAAAAUGAACAGCCUAGAAAACUGAUUAUGGUUUCAGGACCAGCUUUAAAAAAAAGCAACAAAACCCUUCCAGUCACCCAGAGUUCUAAACAUAAUCGGUUGGUUCCCAGAAGUACAAUAAAAGGAAGCCAGAA
rnacentral:lncRNA from 1 species